rnacentral:tRNA from 1 species
UAGUUAUUAAUUUAAAUAAAAUAUUAAUUUUGUAAAUUAAAAAUAAAUUAAAAAUUUAUAACUAA